CUACGGGGUGCUGCAGUGAGGAAUAUUGCACAAUGGGGGGAACCCUGAUGCAGCAACGCCGCGUGGAGGAUGACGCAUUUCGGUGUGUAAACUCCUUUUAUAUGUCAAGAAAAUGACGGUAGCAUAUGAAUAAGCGCCGGCUAACUCCGUGCCAGCAGCCGCGGUAAUACGGAGGGCGCAAGCGUUACUCGGAAUCACUGGGCGUAAAGGACGCGUAGGCGGGUUGGAAAGUCAGGUGUGAAAUCCUACAGCUUAACUGUAGAACUGCACUUGAAACUUCUAAUCUAGAGUAUGGGAGGGGGAGAUGGAAUUAGUGGUGUAGGGGUAAAAUCCGUAGAUAUCACUAGGAAUACCUAAAGCGAAGGCGAUCUCCUGGAACAUUACUGACGCUGAGGUGCGAAAGCGUGGGGAGCAAACAGGAUUAGAUACCCGAGUAGUC
rnacentral:rRNA from 1 species